rnacentral:rRNA from 1 species
AUGUUGGGUUAAGUCCCGCAACGAGCGCAACCCUUGCCCUCAGUUGCCAGCAGUUCGGCUGGGCACUCUGGGGGGACUGCCGGUGACAAGCCGGAGGAAGGUGGGGAUGACGUCAAGUCCUCAUGGCCUUUAUAUCCAGGGCUACACACGUGUUACAAUGGGGGUCACAAAGGGCAGCGAAACGGUGACGUGGAGCGAAUCCCAAAAAAGCCCUCUCAGUUCGGAUCGCAGUCUGCAACUCGACUGCGNNNNNNNNNNUCCCGGGCCUUGUACACACCGCCCGUCACACCAUGGGAGUUGACAGGGGCAGAAGCCGCCGAGCCAACCUUCGGGAGGCAGGCGUCCAAGCUCCGGUUGAUGACUGGGGUGAAGUCGUAACAAGGUAGCCGUAGGAGAACCUGCGGCUGGAUCACCUCCUUU